UAGCUCAUCAUGCUGACCAUUUAUCUCCCAGGUUUUGGAAAAAGCAUUGAUGUUGACUGCUAGUUGACAAAGGGGAAGAAAUAGGUUCUUCAGGUGGCAGCAAUCAAGAAAACAAAGGCUUCCCAAAGUCACACAUGCAACCGGGCACUAUCAGGGCUGUCAGAGUUUCCAAGGACAGGGAGAGGGAGGCAGAUCCCAUGAAAUGAGGCUGGACAGGAAGUCCUCCCAACGAGGUUAUCAGGCAAAUCAAGAAGAGUGGGAAGUGCCCGAAGACAGGAGGCUGCCUGCCAGCGACUCCACGGGCUCAGGCUGUUUGUAGUUCAUGUGCAUAAUUUUUAAAGAUAGACAUAAGACAUACCCCUGAAGAUGAGUACAAGAGAGAAAGACAGGGCUCUGAAAAUACUGCCAUAGGCUCAAGUUCCAAAGUGCUGGAGUUACAAAAGUAUAAAGGACAACGCAAAGGACUUUUUAGCCAAAGAAGAACCAGAAAGGUUCUGAGCACUGAUUUCAUCAAGCCGAUGGAGGCAACAACAUAUUCCUUAGGGAAAAUUAAGAUGCACAGUAUGCUUCAAGAUGAUGGCCAAGAACAACCAACUCAACGAGCCUUCAGGAAUUCAUGAUUUGAAUAUCAUGUUCAAGCUACAGACAUCAGCAAACUCGAGAAAAGAAGGUUUGCUCUGGGAGAUUCUACAUGUGACCUGUUUAUAUGUAAUUAUAUUAUCUAUUACUCAAGUAUUUGUCUUGUGCUGUCUAAAUUAUAAGCUUCUCAACUGUUUGCCUUGAGUGAGAUGUGCACGCUAAAGCCUCUCAAUAAAUAUUAAUUGAAUGAAUAAUUGAAAAAAACC
rnacentral:lncRNA from 10 species